CCUCCCAGACGCGGGCUGCUCUGUCAGUUGGGGGCCUGUAGCAAAGAGAAUCUGGAGAAUGCCACAGCACAUCUGUGAUGAACACAAAAGAUGAUUGUCACUGUAAACCACUGCGCUUCAUGCAGAUUACCUACAUCAGAGUGAGAGGCAGCUGGAAGAAGUGCAAUGCAUUGAGAAACCUCUAGAAAGAGACACCAGUGCUGGAACAGGACGAACCUCAAGUGCAGAGUUUCCUCCCAACAGUGAAGAGAACUCAGCAGUGAGCCUCUGUGGAGAAGGGGGCAUUUAAGCUGGGCCCCAGACUCAGCAGAGGGAAUUCUGGAGCAAAAGUGCCAAGGAGGGUGCAAGCUUGGCUCUGCAGGAACUGGGGCCAUGUGACAGCAGUCUUUCUCCAAUAGGAUGCCCAUAGCCACUAUCCAGCCUGAGUUUCAUCAAUCAUGUGUGUCUUGCCUCUGAAGUCGUAAUUUACCUUGAAAGCCACUGGAGCAGGCACCACUCAUGUGACUGCAGGACCACAGGGCUGAGGGCAUCCUUGAGAACUCAACUUGAAUGUGUGGCAGACUUCCCAUCACCAAGCCAUCCCUAUGGACCCAGGCUCAACAUUACCAAAGCAUAUUACAAGAAAACUCCGUUUUAUGAAGUGACGGUGAUUUACAUCUUUCUGUCUCUGCUCUUCCCCCCGAC